rnacentral:rRNA from 1 species
AGCGAACGCUGGCGGCAGGCCUAACACAUGCAAGUCGAACGAAGUCUUCGGACUUAGUGGCGGACGGGUGAGUAACACGUGGGAACGUACCUUUUGGUUCGGAACAACUCAGGGAAACUUGAGCUAAUACCGGAUGAGCCCUUAGGGGGAAAGAUUUAUCGCCGAAAGAGCGGCCCGCGUUAGAUUAGCUAGUUGGUGAGGUAAAGGCUCACCAAGGCUACGAUCUAUAGCUGGUCUGGGAGGAUGAUCAGCCACACUGGGACUGAGACACGGCCCAGACUCCUACGGGAGGCAGCAGUGGGGAAUCUUGCGCAAUGGGCGAAAGCCUGACGCAGCCAUGCCGCGUGAAUGAUGAAGGUCUUAGGAUUGUAAAAUUCUUUUACCAGGGACGAUAAUGACGGUACCUGGAGAAAAAGCCCCGGCUAACUUCGUGCCAGCAGCCGCCGCCGUAA